rnacentral:lncRNA from 1 species
AUGAACAAAGUCAAGUCACAGCUGAUCUUCAUGAUCAAAGUCAAAUCACAGCUGAUCUUCAUGAGCAAAGUCAAGUCACCAAUGACCUUCAUGAGCAAUUUCAAGUCACCAAUAAUCUGCAUGAACAAAGUCAGGUCACCAUUCAUGAGUGACUUGAAUGGGUCACUUCAAUUCAGUCAAUUCACAGUUGAUCUUCAUGAACUAGGUCAAGUCACAGUUGAUCUACAUGAACAAGGUCAAGUUGCAGUUGAUCUUCAUGAACAAAGUCAAGUCACAGUUGAUCUUCCUGAACCCAGUCAUAUCACCACACAUCUACGAGAGCUUCAUCACGUCUCAGCUGAACCACCAGGACCUUGUCACGUUUCAGCCGAACCUCCAGAGCUCUCGUCCUAUCCUGUCAUGGCCAUGGAGGCCAUCCACCAACUCACUGUCUGUCCUGUCAUGGCCACGGAGGUUAUGCAUGAAUUCCCCGCCUGUCCUGUCAUAGCCCUGGAGGCCGUCUAUGAACUUUUGUUCAUUCCUGUAAUGGCCACGGAGGCCAUCCAUGAACUCACCGCCUGCCCUGUCAUGGCCACGGAGGCCAGCUACCCUCUCAUCACGGCCACGGAGGCCGCUAUUAACCUGUUUAUGUUUAUGUUUCUGUCCCACCUGACCAGACUUGCUCUCCUGUGCCAUCGACUCCACUGUGGUAGUCCUCUACUCCACCCUGGUGGGCUUCUGUCUCGUCUGCUUGGCUGUGGUGGUUCUCUACUCUGCCCUGGUGGGCUUCAGUCUCAUCUGCUCAGCUGUGGUAGUCCUCUGCUUCGCCCUGGUGGGCUUCAGUCUCAUCUGCUCAGCUGUGGUGGUCCUCUGCUCUGCCCUGGAGGGCUUCUGUCUUGUCUGCUCUGCCAUGAUGGGCUCCAGGAAGCCCAGAAAGGGUGCCAGUUCCGUGUGCUCCACCCUGGCUUCCAGCUUUUCUGGCUCUGCCCCGAUCUCCGGUUUCUCCACUUACACGUGGCCCUGGCCCUCCCCGCGUGUUCCACCUCCACUCCAUUGGCCUCCUAG